rnacentral:piRNA from 1 species
UAAACCAUUUUACAUAGGUUAAACAAGUUGC